rnacentral:ncRNA from 1 species
UACAUUUGCGCGUGUUAUGGUUCUCUUCCGGCCAGUUCGGGAGGGAUUAAAAGGGAACCCGGUGUAAGUCCGGGGCUGUCCCGCAGCUGUAAGUUUCGUGAAUGAUGAUCAUUCACAAGAGUUCAAUCUACAGCCACUUCCCGAAGUAUCGGGAGGGAAGGUGUUGAACAAAUGAAACGAGCCAGAAGACCUGCCAUUUCAAGCUUAUUUAU